rnacentral:rRNA from 1 species
UACGAAGGGGGCUAGCGUUGCUCGGAUUUACUGGGCGUAAAGGGCGCGUAGGCGGACAGUUUAGUCAGAGGUGAAAGCCCGGGGCUCAACCUCGGAAUUGCCUUUGAUACUGGCUGUCUUGAGUACGGGAGAGGUGUGUGGAACUCCGAGUGUAGAGGUGAAAUUCGUAGAUAUUCGCAAGAACACCAGUGGCGAAGGCGGCUCACUGGCCCGUUACUGACGCUGAGGCACGAAAGCGUGGGGAGCAAACAGG